rnacentral:rRNA from 1 species
UACGAAGGGGGCGAGCGUUGUUCGGAAUCAUUGGGCGUAAAGGGUGCGUAGGCGGCGCGGUAAGUCGGGUGUGAAAUCUCGGAGCUUAACUCCGAAACUGCAUUCGAUACUGCCGUGCUUGAGGACUGGAGAGGAGACUGGAAUUUACGGUGUAGCGGUGAAAUGCGUAGAUAUCGUAAGGAAGACCAGUGGCGAAGGCGGGUCUCUGGACAGUUCCUGACGCUGAGGCACGAAGGUCAGGGGAGCAAACGGG